AGAACUCAACUUUUUUUUUAGAUGUUUAAUAAAUGUUUAUUUUCUUUCUUGUAGAGUAAGUUAAUAUGAAAGACGUGUCGGUGUGCCUACCAUGAACAGUCACUUGGGCUCUUAACUCAAGGAAUGUUCAAGCCAACUACGCACCAUGAUGACUCUACACCUUCUAUUUUUGUUGCUUUUUCUGACAUUCUCCUACCCUGGUAUUAAAUGUUCGCUUGGUUCUUCCAAAGCUACUCCUAAGGAUACAUAUGAUUGCACGAUGAUGGGUGGUUCAUGUGCAGAAGUAUGCAAGUCCUAUUGCUACAUGGUUGGCACCUGUAAAGAUAGGAAAUUGUCAUGCUGUUUAUAUCUUUGAGUACAUAGAUUGUUGACUAAAAAUAGAAGCAGGAAAUCACAGUCUUUCCAGGCUGUGUGGUAAGAAAGGGCCAGAGAACAGAAGAUGAGAGAAAUUGAAAUGAAUGGAAUGAAUGUUACUCUUAUAUUAAUAAAGUAAGCCCCAAUUGUAAAGCA
rnacentral:lncRNA from 1 species